rnacentral:pre_miRNA from 1 species
UGAUGAUGAUGGUGAUGAUGAUUAUGAUGAUGAUGAUGAUGAUGAUCAUCAUCAUCAUCAUCAUCAUCAUUCUAA